rnacentral:tRNA from 1 species
GGAGGGAUCGCAUAGUGGACUAGUGCGCAGUCCUGGAAAGACUGUUUAGGGGUGACCCUAUCGCGGGUUCGAAUCCCGCUCCCUCCGCCA